rnacentral:rRNA from 1 species
UACGGGGGGAGCAAGCGUUGUUCGGAUUUACUGGGCGUAAAGGGCGCGUAGGCGGCGUAACAAGUCACUUGUGAAAUCUCCGGGCUUAACUCGGAACGGUCAAGUGAUACUGUCGGACUAGAGUACAGAAGGGGCAACUGGAAUUCUCGGUGUAGCGGUGAAAUGCGUAGAUAUCGAGAGGAACACCUGCGGCGAAGGCGGGUUGCUGGGCUGAUACUGACGCUGAGGCGCGAAAGCCAGGGGGAGCGAACGGG